rnacentral:rRNA from 1 species
ACGAGAAAGUCCCCUUCGGGGGAUAAGUAAAGUGGCGCACGGGUGAGUAACACGUAGGUAAUCUACCUUCGGGUGGGGAAUAACCCAGGGAAACUUGGGCUAACACCGCAUAAUGCAGCGGCACCACAUGGUGACAGUUGUUAAAGCGGGGGAUUUUCGGACCUCGCGCCUGAAGAGGAGCCUGCGGCGGAUUAGCUAGUUGGUAAGGUAACGGCUUACCAAGGCGACGAUCCGUAGCCGGCCUGAGAGGGCGGUCGGCCACACUGACACUGACAUACGGGUCAGACUCCUACGGGAGGCAGCAGUCGGGAAUUUUGGGCAAUGGGCGAAAGCCUGACCCAGCAACGCCGCGUGAAGGAUGAGAUCCCUCGGGAUGUAAACUUCGCAAGAAUGGGAAGAAUUAGCGAGCGCUAAUACCGCUCGUGAUGACGGUACCAUUUGUAAGCUCCGGCUAACUCCGUGCCAGCAGCCGCGGUAAUACGGGGGGAGCAAGCGUUGUUCGGAUUUACUGGGCGUAAAGGGCGCGUAGGCGGUCAGCACAAGUCAGUUGUGAAAUCUCCGGGCUUAACUCGGAAAGGUCAACUGAUACUGUGCGACUAGAGUGCGGAAGGGGCAACUGGAAUUCUCGGUGUAGCGGUGAAAUGCGUAGAUAUCGAGAGGAACACCUGCGGCGAAGGCGGGUUGCUGGGCCGAC